rnacentral:rRNA from 1 species
AGGACGAACGCUGGCGGCGUGCUUAACACAUGCAAGUCGAGCGGAAAGGCCCUUCGGGGUACUCGAGCGGCGAACGGGUGAGUAACACGUGAGCAACCUGCCCUUAGCUCCGGGAUAGCUCCGGGAAACCGGAAUUAAUACCGGAUAUGACCUAGGCCGACAUCGGCUGUGGUGGAAAGUUUUUCGGCUGGGGAUGGACUCGCGGCCUAUCAGCUUGUUGGUGGGGUAAUGGCCUACCAAGGCGACGACGGGUAGCCGGCCUGAAAGGGCGACCGGCCACACUGGGACUGAGACACGGCCCAGACUCCUACGGGAGGCAGCAGUGGGGAAUCUUGCGCAAUGGGCGAAAGCCUGACGCAGCGACGCCGCGUGGGGGAUGAAGGCCUUCGGGUUGUAAACCCCUUUCAGCAGGACGAAGCGAAAGUGACGGUACCUGCAGAAGAAGCGCCGGCUAACUACGUGCCAGCAGCCGC